rnacentral:rRNA from 1 species
CCUACGGGAGGCAGCAGUGAGGAAUAUUGGUCAAUGGGCGAGAGCCUGAACCAGCCAAGUCGCGUGAGGGAGUACUGCCCUAUGGGUUGUAAACCUCUUUUGUCGGGGAGCAAAAGCCGGACGUGUCCGGCUGUGAGAGUACCCGCAGAAAAAGCAUCGGCUAACUCCGUGCCAGCAGCCGCGGUAAUACGGAGGAUGCGAGCGUUAUCCGGAUUUAUUGGGGUUAAAGGGUGCGCAGGCGGAUUUUUAAGUCAGCGGUCAAAUCGUGGGGCUCAACCCCAUCCAGCCGUUGAAACUGGGGAUCUAGAGUGUUCGAGAGGUAUGCGGAAUGCGUGGUGUAGCGGUGAAAUGCAUAGAUAUCACGCAGAACCCCGAUUGCGAAGGCAGCAUACCGGUGCACAACUGACGCUCAGGCACGAAAGCGUGGGUAUCGAACAGGAUUAGAUACCCUUGUAGUC